rnacentral:rRNA from 1 species
ACGAACGCUGGCGGCGUGCUUAACACAUGCACGUCGAACGGAAAGGCCCUGCUUUUGUGGGGUGCUCGAGUGGCGAACGGGUGAGUAACACGUGAGUAACCUGCCCUUGACUUUGGGAUAACUUCAGGAAACUGGGGCUAAUACCGGAUAGGAGCUCCUGCUGCAUGGUGGGGGUUGGAAAGUUUCGGCGGUUGGGGAUGGACUCGCGGCCUAUCAGCUUGUUGGUGGGGUAGUGGCUUACCAAGGCUUUGACGGGUAGCCGGCCUGAGAGGGUGACCGGCCACAUUGGGACUGAGAUACGGCCCAGACUCCUACGGGAGGCAGCAGUGGGGAAUAUUGCACAAUGGGCGGAAGCCUGAUGCAGCAACGCCGCGUGCGGGAUGACGGCCUUCGGGUUGUAAACCGCUUUCGCCUGUGACGAAGCGUGAGUGACGGUAAUGGGUAAAGAAGCACCGGCUAACUACGUG